AUUGAACGCUGGCGGCAUGCCUUACACAUGCAAGUCGAACGGCAGCACGGGAGCAAUCCUGGUGGCGAGUGGCGAACGGGUGAGUAAUGUAUCGGAACGUACCUUUCAGUGGGGGAUAACGUAGCGAAAGUUACGCUAAUACCGCAUAUUCUGGGUGAGCAGGAAAGCAGGGGAUCGCAAGACCUUGCGCUGAUUGAGCGGCCGAUAUCAGAUUAGCUAGUUGGUGAGGUAAAGGCUCACCAAGGCGACGAUCUGUAGCGGGUCUGAGAGGAUGAUCCGCCACACUGGAACUGAGACACGGUCCAGACUCCUACGGGAGGCAGCAGUGGGGAAUUUUGGACAAUGGGCGCAAGCCUGAUCCAGCCAUGCCGCGUGAGUGAAGAAGGCCU
rnacentral:rRNA from 1 species